rnacentral:rRNA from 1 species
UCGAGAAUAAUUCGCAAUGGGCGAAAGCCUGACGAUGCGACGCCGUGUGAGUGAAGAAGGCCUUCGGGUCGUAAAGCUCUGUCGCCUGAGAACAAGGGAAGCUAGCGAAUAACUAGUUUCUUUGAGGGUAUCAGGAAAGGAAGCACCGGCUCACUCCGUGCCAGCAGCUGCGGUAAUACGGAGGGUGCAAGCGUUAGUCGGAAUUACUGGGCGUAAAGGGCGCGUAGGCGGAAAUGUCAGUCAGCUGUGAAAUCCCGGAGCUCAACUCCGGAACGGCAUCUGAUACUGCAUAUCUUGAGGAUAGGCGGAGAAAACGGAAUUCCACGUGUAGCGGUGAAAUGCGUAGAUAUGUGGAAGAACACCUGUGGCGAAAGCGGUUUUCUAGUCUAGACCUGACGCUGAGGCGCGAAAGCAAGGGGAGCAAACAGGAUUAGAUACCCCCGUAGUCC